rnacentral:rRNA from 1 species
UACGUAGGGCGCGAGCGUUUGUCCGGAAUUAUUGGGCGUAAAGAGCUCGUAGGCGGCUUGUCGCGUCGGAUGUGAAAGCCCGGGGCUUAACUCCGGGUCUGCAUUCGAUACGGGCAGGCUAGAGUUCGGUAGGGGAGAUCGGAAUUCCUGGUGUAGCGGUGAAAUGCGCAGAUAUCAGGAGGAACACCGGUGGCGAAGGCGGAUCUCUGGGCCGAUACUGACGCUGAGGAGCGAAAGCGUGGGGAGCGAACAGG